rnacentral:rRNA from 1 species
AACGAACGCUGGCGGCAUGCCUAACACAUGCCAGUCGAACGAGACCUUCGGGUCUAGUGGCUCACGGGUGCGUAACGCGUGGGAACCUGCCCUUAGGUUCGGAAUAACUCCCCGAAAUGGGUGCUAAUACCGGAUAAUGUCUUCGGACCAAAGAUUUAUCGCCUUUGGAUGGGCCCGCGUUGGAUUAGCUAGUUGGUAGGGUAAAAGCCUACCAAGGCGACGAUCCAUAGCUGGUCUGAGAGGAUGAUCAGCCACACUGGGACUGAGACACGGCCCAGACUCCUACGGGAGGCAGCAGUGGGGAAUAUUGGACAAUGGGCGAAAGCCUGAUCCAGCAAUGCCGCGUGAGUGAUGAAGGCCUUAGGGUUGUAAAGCUCUUUUACCCGGGAUGAUAAUGACAGUACCGGGAGAAUAAGCUCCGGCUAACUCCGUG